CCAAGUUCUCUCAGGUAUGAGUCAAAAACUGGUCCAACACAUCAUUCAAACCAAUAGGAGCAUUGCUGAAUUACCUGAAGUGAGGUGAAGAAGCACAUCUCUGAAGAAUAAUAUCUUGAAGCUCUGGCAAUUAACCUAACCAUGUUUUCCACUUUGCAAAAUUAGUUUACCUGCCAACUCAAUCUGCCGGUAUUCUCCUAACUUUUUAAAUGUGAAUUGUGGCAAUUCUGCAAACCAGUCUAUUGGGCAGUCUGUCAAGAAAUAACUGCUACUGUCAAUUACA